GUCUAUGGCCAUGCCACCUGAACAAGCCCGAUCCUGUAUGACCUCGGAAGCUAAGCAGGGUUGGGCCUGGUUAGUACUUGGAUGGGAGACUACCUAGGAAGAUCAGGUGCUGUAGGCA
rnacentral:rRNA from 1 species